GGAACCUUGCUCUAAAUGCUCCCUACUCGUCCAAAUGUGAGAAACAUGGGAAAAGAUGUGCCCCAAAAAUGGGCAAUUAUCAUUCCUAAAUAAACCCUAACUCCCAGGCCCAAAUGCCUCUAUAAAUAUAUCAUCCAUGGCAUGAGAAUGGAUAAAUUGUAAUACACAUGUCAUACCCCGAAAAUAUAUCAAGCUUCUCACCACACAUGAUUUUUCUAUCUCCAUAGCCAAAAUCACCUCCGAAUAGGGUUUCUCACCACCGUGAGCAAGCC
rnacentral:lncRNA from 1 species